GCCGGGCACCGGCGGGCGCGGGAGCCGCCGCCUCCGGAGCGGGCGGCGGCGCGCUGUGGCCGUUCAGCUCGGCCUGGACGGCG
rnacentral:tRNA from 1 species